UGUAGCCUGGGAAAUGACUGACCUGA
rnacentral:piRNA from 1 species